UGAGGAAUAUUGGACAAUGGGCGCAAGCCUGAUCCAGCCAUGCCGCGUGCAGGAUGAAGCAUCUAUGGUGUGUAAACUGCUUUUGUACAGGAAGAAACCCUGGCUCGUGAGCCAGAUUGACGGUACUGUAAGAAUAAGGAUCGGCUAACUCCGUGCCAGCAGCCGCGGUAAUACGGAGGAUCCAAGCGUUAUCCGGAAUCAUUGGGUUUAAAGGGUCCGUAGGCGGACCAGUAAGUCAGUGGUGAAAUCUCUCCGCUCAACGGGGAAAUGGCCAUUGAUACUGCUGGUCUUGAAUUAUUAGGAAGUAACUAGAAUAUGUAGUGUAGCGGUGAAAUGCUUAGAGAUUACAUGGAAUACCAAUUGCGAAGGCAGGUUACUACUAAUGGAUUGACGCUGAUGGACGAAAGCGUGGGUAGCGAACAGG
rnacentral:rRNA from 1 species